UACGGGGGGGUAAGGCGUUGUUCGGAAUUACUGGGCGUAAAGGGCUCGUAGGCGGCCAACUAAGUCAGACGUGAAAUCCCUCAGCUUAACUGGGGAACUGCGUCUGAUACUGGAUGGCUUGGAUUCGGGAGAGGAAUGCGGAAUUCCAGGUGUAGCGGUGAAAUGCGUAGAUAUCUGGAGGAACACCGGUGGCGAAGGCGGCAUUCUGGACCGACAUUGACGCUGAGGAGCGAAAGCCAGGGGAGCAAACGGG
rnacentral:rRNA from 1 species